ACUGCUCAGUAACACGUGGACAGCCUGCCCAAAGGUCCGGGAUAACCCCGGGAAACUGGGGAUAAUACCGGAUAAAUCACAAAUACUGGAAGGUUUUGUGGUUGAAACUUCCGGGGCCUUUGGAUGGGUCUGCGGCUGAUUAGGUUGUUGCCGGUGUAACGUACCGUCAAGCCUGUAAUCAGUACGGGUUGUGGGAGCAAGAGCCCGGAGAUGGAUUCUGAGACACGAAUCCAGGCCCUACGGGGCGCAGCAGGCGCGAAAACUCUACAAUGCAGGCAACUGCGAUAGGGGAACAUCGAGUGAUACUCAUCUUGGGUGUCUGUCCUCCCGUCUAAAAAACGGGAGUUAGCAAGGGCCGGGCAAGACCGGUGCCAGCCGCCGCGGUAAUACCGGCGGCUCGAGUGGUGGCCGAUAUUAUUGAGUCUAAAGGGUCCGUAGCCGGCUUUGCAAGUCUUUUGGGAAAUCCAGCGGCUUAACCGUUGGGCGUCCGGGAGAUACUACAUUGCUUGGGACUGGGAGAGGUAGGAGGUACUCAGGGGGUAGGAGUGAAAUCCUGUAAUCCUUUGGGGACCACCGGUGGCGAAGGCGUCCUACCAGAACAGGUCCGACGGUGAGGGACGAAAGCUAGGGGCACGAACCGGAUUAGAUACCCGGGUAGUCCUAGCCGUAAACGAUGCUCGCUAGGUGUCACAACAAUCGUGAAUUGUUGUGGUGCCGUAGGGAAGCCGUGAAGCGAGCCACUUGGGAAGUACGACCGCAAGGUUGAAACUUAAAGGAAUUGGCGGGGGAGCAC
rnacentral:rRNA from 1 species